rnacentral:rRNA from 1 species
CAGAGACUGCAAGCGUUAUUCGGAUUCACUGGGCGUAAGGGUGCGCAGGCGGCCAAGUGUGUUAGGCGUGAAAGCCUGAGGCUUAACCUCAGAAUUGCACCUAAAACUACAUGGCUAGAGCAUUGGAGAGGGUAGUGGAAUUCACGGUGUAGCAGUGAAAUGCGUAGAUAUCGUGAGGAACACCAGAGGCGAAGGCGGCUACCUGGACAAUUGCUGACGCUCAGGCACGAAAGCGUGGGGAGCAAAAGGGAUUAGAUACCCCUGUAGUCCACGCCCUAAACGGUGCACACUAGGUCUUGGCGGAUUCGACCCCACCAGGGCCCAAGCUAACGCGUUAAGUGUGCCGCCUGAGGACUACGGUCGCAAGACUA